UACAGAGGGGGCAAGCGUUGUUCGGAAUUACUGGGCGUAAAGGGCGCGUAGGCGGCCUUCUAAGUCGAACGUGAAAUCCCCGGGCUCAACCCGGGAACUGCGUCCGAUACUGGAAGGCUUGAAUCCGGGAGAGGGAUGCGGAAUUCCAGGUGUAGCGGUGAAAUGCGUAGAUAUCUGGAGGAACACCGGUGGCGAAGGCGGCAUCCUGGACCGGUAUUGACGCUGAGGCGCGAAAGCCAGGG
rnacentral:rRNA from 1 species